GGAUGUGAGGGCGAUCUGGCUGCGACAUCUGUCACCCCAUUGAUCGCCAGGGUUGAUUCGGCUGAUCUGGCUGGCUAGGCGGGUGUCCCCCUCCUCCCUCACCGAUCCAUGUGUGCAUUCGGUCGAAGAGAACAACCUUCCUCCCAGAGGAGAGGACCGGUCUUCGGUCAAGGGUAUACAAGUAGCUGCGCUCCCCUGCCAGAACCUCCAAACAAGCUCUCAAGAAUGGCUAUCAUCAACAAAAUGACAAGUGUUGGCAAGGGAACCCUCGUCCACAUCUGAUGGGAAUGCAGACAUUGCAGCCUCU
rnacentral:snRNA from 1 species